GGUUCUGAGGGCAGAAGGGAAGGCUGGUUCUACCCUUGUGCUGGGAGAAACAUUAAGAUCGAGAGCACAGCUAUGGAAGUCAGACAGCCUGGAUCUGAAACUGGUUCCACCACCGGCUAUAGUUAAAUUCUUCAUUGAAGAAUGCAAUGAAAAGUAAGGUGAAAAAGGCAAAGGUGUACCCAUGUAUCUCACAUUCAGGGUGUGACUGCUUGCAAGCAGAUGUACCUUCAGAUAGCCCACCAGGUCUGCAGAGUCUACAGAAAAAUGAAAGAUCACUCCAUACCAAGUAUUGUCUCAACUCAGAGACAUCCCUGCCACGCAGCACACAGAUUUAUAACUCUGGGCAAAGGUUUCAACAAAUACAAUUUCUUCACUCCAAAGUCCAUCUAUGUGUAUUGCCUGAAAUACAGAGCGGUGCGUGAUUGUCUGCUGGUCUCUAAUCCCAGGAGCCUCGGCAGCAGAGGCAGGACGAGUUCCUAUAACUCUGGAGACAGAGAUGGCUCACACAGGCUGAUGCUGUGUAAGGGCGUUCAUGGAAUCUAUUGUUCUUUUUUCAAACUGACAUAGUGUCUACACCGACAUAGCCCAGAAAAAAGAAACUAUUGUAAAUGAAAGAUCUAAAAUUUGUCUAUUAUAAAUGAAAAGAUCAUAACCCUAUGAUUGGUGAAAACACGCUCCUUAUCCAGAGAGUCCACGGUAAUGUUUCAAUUGAAGAGUUUCACUCAGAGAAAGAGAAUGGGUUCAAACAAACAAACAAAAGACGACAAGAUAAGGGGAUUAGGUUUGAUGGUCUUAAACACACAAGGAUGAAGACAAAACUUCUGAUUCCAUAUCAGUGACCUGGGUACAUGAUGUGGGAUGUAAAUCAGAAUCUUCAAAGGCUAUAUUACACUUUCCCAUCCACCUCUUCCAUGAAGACAGGCAAUAGGGAGGUACUUAAAUUUUUUCAUGUCCUAUGGGUGUCACUGAGCAGUUUGUUUCUUAAGCAUCUCCCAUGAAUAUGGCUGAAAUAACAAGUAAAACUCACUCGGGUGCCCAACUGGAGGAAUGUACUUCUAACGUCCAAAGUCCAUGUGACAAUGUUAUCUGAAAAACAUCUGACAUGAACCCAAUGCAAUGAUACUAAACUCACUCUAAUGAGCAGUCCUGUAAAAGGCAUCCAUUUUGGAACCCAGGCCAGAUAUGAGUGAAACUCAAAAAUAAGUAUGACAAUCUGACUACCACAAGGUCUUACGGCAGAGUCCUGGUAUGCUGUUAACCUCUGGAUUACCCAAUCUUGGGAAGGAGCCAACUGGCCUAUAGAACUCCUGAAAAUGAAACACUACCCAUCAUAGGUGGGAAAGUACGUCUGCUUAAGUAACUCUGAUAAGAGGCCCUCGAAAACAGAAAACCACAAAAACGGCAACAAUACUAUAGCUCUUGAGAAGUUCCUUGUCUAGUGGGGAAAGGAGAUAAAAUAUAAAAAGCUUGGGACUUCCCUGCUAGAAUCUGCCAGCCAAUGCAGGGGACAUGGGUUCAAUCCAUAUUCUGGGAAGAUUCCGCAUGUCUUAAGAGAACUAAGCUCAUCUGUUACAACUACUAAACUCUGUGUUUCUAGAGCCUGUGCUACAUAACAAGAGAGGCUACUGCAAGGAGAAGCCCAGGAAUCCGAAGUAGAAAAAGCCUGUGUAUAGCAAGGCAGACCCAGUGCAGCCAAAUAAAAA